AGAUUUCAGUACUUCUGCUGCAUCAAGAUUAGUCUCUCCUCCACAAACUCCCCCAGCAGUGUCUCUCCUCGUCCCCCCAGUGCUUGUGAUUGUUUUGGGAGUUGUGCUCUUACUGCUCUUAGUGCCACUGCUUAUACUGAUUCAGCAGAACAGAGGGAUGAGGAGAGCUCUCUCUAAGAGGAGACACAGGACUACACAGGACACAGACUGAUGCUGUUUACCAUGAGAUUUAUCACAGACAGCAUCACUUCACUCAGAGGGAGGGAGAUCAGUAGGAGGAUGAUGAUGUGAAGAACACAAUGAAGAUGAGAAAAACCUAGACUAUGAUGAUGUGGGGGAGGAGUCAUAUAAAGAGGGAGGGGCCACAUGACUCAGUGACCACACCCACUAUCUCUGUUCAUGAAAUCAUAUUAGUUACUGGAGCUACUGGGACUUUCUCAUAUUGCUACUAAUGAUUCAAUGCCUUUGUAUGUUAUUUAAUUUUUUUUUUAAUAAAAAUGUACAUGCUUUGCAAAAUUUGGUAACAACAAAUUUUAGUAUUUGUACAUCA